UGCGUAGGCGGCUUUUUAAGUCGGAUGUGAAAUCCCUGAGCUUAACUUAGGAAUUGCAUUCGAUACUGGGAAGCUAGAGUAUGGGAGAGGGUGGUAGAAUUCCAGGUGUAGCGGUGAAAUGCGUAGAGAUCUGGAGGAAUACCGAUGGCGAAGGCAGCCAUCUGGCCUAAUACUGACGCUGAGGUACGAAAGCAUGGGGAGCAAACA
rnacentral:rRNA from 1 species